rnacentral:rRNA from 1 species
AACGCUAGCUACAGGCUUAACACAUGCAAGUCGAGGGGCAGCAUGAACUUAGCUUGCUAAGUUUGAUGGCGACCGGCGCACGGGUGAGUAACGCGUAUCCAACCUUCCGUACACUCAGGGAUAGCCUUUCGAAAGAAAGAUUAAUACCUGAUGGUAUGAUGAGAUUGCAUGGUAACAUCAUUAAAGAUUUAUCGGUGUACGAUGGGGAUGCGUUCCAUUAGAUAGUAGGCGGGGUAACGGCCCACCUAGUCGACGAUGGAUAGGGGUUCUGAGAGGAAGGUCCCCCACAUUGGAACUGAGACACGGUCCAAACUCCUACGGGAGGCAGCAGUGAGGAAUAUUGGUCAAUGGGCGCGAGCCUGAACCAGCCAAGUAGCGUGAAGGAUGAAGGUCCUACGGAUUGUAAACUUCUUUUAUAAGGGAAUAAAGUCACCUACGUGUAGGUGUUUGUAUGUACCUUAUGAAUAAGCAUCGGCUAACUCCGUGCCAGCAGCCGCGGUAAUACGGAGGAUGCGAGCGUUAUCCGGAUUUAUUGGGUUUAAAGGGAGCGUAGACGGGUCGUCAAGUCAGCUGUGAAAGUUUGAGGCUCAACCUUAAAAUUGCAGUUGAUACUGGCGUCCUUGAGUACGGUUGAGGCAGGCGGAAUUCGUGGUGUAGCGGUGAAAUGCAUAGAUAUCACGAAGAACUCCGAUUG